rnacentral:rRNA from 1 species
GACGAACGCUGGCGGCGUGCUUAACACAUGCAAGUCGAACGGAAAGGCCCUGCUUUUGUGGGGUGCUCGAGUGGCGAACGGGUGAGUAACACGUGAGUAACCUGCCCUUGACUUUGGGAUAACUUCAGGAAACUGGGGCUAAUACCGGAUAGGAGCUCCUGCUGCAUGGUGGGGGUUGGAAAGUUUCGGCGGUUGGGGAUGGACUCGCGGCUUAUCAGCUUGUUGGUGGGGUAGUGGCUUACCAAGGCUUUGACGGGUAGCCGGCCUGAGAGGGUGACCGGCAACAUGGGGACUGAGAUACGGCCCAGACUCCUACGGGAGGCAGCAGUGGGGAAUAUUGCACAAUGGGCGGAAGCCGGAUGCAGCAACGCCGCGUGCGGGAUGACGGCCUUCGGGUUGUAAACCGCUUUCGCCUGUGACGAAGCGUGAGUGAAGGUAAUGGGUAAAGAAGCACCGGCUAACUACGUG